rnacentral:rRNA from 1 species
UAAUACAGAGGGUGCGAGCGUUAAUCGGAAUGACUGGGCGUAAAGGGCGCGUAGGCGGUUUAUUAAGAUGGUUGUGAAAUCCCUGGGCUUAACCUAGGAAUGGCAACCAUGACUGGCAAGCUAGAGUACUGUAGAGGGUAGUGGAAUUUCCGGUGUAGCGGUGAAAUGCGUAGAGAUCGGAAGGAACACCAGUGGCGAAGGCGGCUACCUGGACAGAUACUGACGCUGAGGCGCGAGAGCGUGGGGAGCAAACAGGAUUAGAUACCCUGGUAGUCCACGCUGUAAACGAUGAAGACUAGAUGUUGGGCAGCGAGACUGUUUAGUAUCGAAGCAAACGCGAUAAGUCUUCCGCCUGGGGAGUACGACCGCAAGGUUA